rnacentral:rRNA from 1 species
CCCUUAGAUGUUCUGGGCCGCACGCGCGCUACACUGAUGCAUUCAACGAGCCUAGCCUUGACCGAGAGGUCCGGGUAAUCUUUGAAACUGCAUCGUGAUGGGGCUAGAUUAUUGCAAUUAUUAAUCUUCAACGAGGAAUGCCUAGUAAGCGUGAUUCAUCAAAUCGCGUUGAUUACGUCCCUGCCCUUUGUACACACCGCCCGUCGCUACUACUGAUUGGAUGUUUAAGCGAGGUUCUCGAACUGCUAGCGACUUAGCUUCGGUGAGGUCGCAGUGUGGGAAGUGAACCUAGCUUUGGUGUCUAGAGGAAGUAAAAGUCGUAACA